rnacentral:rRNA from 1 species
GUGUCAGCCGCCGCGGUAAAACGUAGGAGCCUAGCGUUAUCCGAAUUUACUGGGCGUAAAGCGCGUGCAGGCGGCUGGGUAAGUUGGCUGUGAAAUCUCCCGGCUCAACUGGGAGGGGACGGUCAAGACUGUCCGGCUGGAGGCAGGUAGAGGGAGGUGGAAUUCCCGGUGUAGUGGUGAAAUGCGUAGAUAUCGGGAGGAACACCAGUGGCGAAAGCGGCCUCCUGGACCUGACCUGACGCUGAGAUGCGAAAGCUAGGGGAGCAAACGGGAUUAGAUACCCUGGUAGUCC